rnacentral:rRNA from 1 species
GACGAACGCUGGCGGCAUGCCUAACACAUGCAAGUCGAACGAGAUCUUCGGGUCUAGUGGCGCACGGGUGCGUAACGCGUGGGAAUCUGCCCUUUGGUUCGGAAUAACAGUUGGAAACGACUGCUAAUACCGGAUGAUGACGAAAGUCCAAAGAUUUAUCGCCAGAGGAUGAGCCCGCGUAGGAUUAGCUAGUUGGUGUGGUAAAGGCGCACCAAGGCGACGAUCCUUAGCUGGUCUGAGAGGAUGAUCAGCCACACUGGGACUGAGACACGGCCCAGACUCCUACGGGAGGCAGCAGUGGGGAAUAUUGGACAAUGGGCGAAAGCCUGAUCCAGCAAUGCCGCGUGAGUGAUGAAGGCCUUAGGGUUGUAAAGCUCUUUUACCCGGGAUGAUAAUGACAGUACUGGGAGAAUAAGCUCCGGCUAACUCCGUGCCAGCUGCCGCAGUAAAAC